AUGGCUACACCCAAGUGUAAUGGUGGAAUGGGCUUCAGGGAUCUGCAACAGUUUAAUCUGGCUAUGUUGGGUAAACAUGGCUGGCGUUUUUUGACAAAUCCAAAUUCCCUUUGUGCAAGAGUUCUAAAGGGCCGCUACUUCCCUGAUUCAGAUUUCAUGCAAGCAUCAGCACCCAAGUCAGCUUCGGCUACUUGGAAGGCAAUCAUAUCAGGG
rnacentral:rRNA from 1 species